ensembl:lncRNA
UUUUUUUUGGCCCCACCCCAGGCAUAUGGAAGUUCCUGGGCCAGGCAUCAAAUUUGCACCUGAGCCAUUAGCAGUGACAAUGCCAGAUCCUUAACCCACUGAGCUCUAAGAGAACGCCAUGGCAGUUUCUUAAAAUGGAAUAAAAUGAAGUUUGCCUCACCAAUUUACUCUUCUUUUCAUGAACAAGAUCUCUGUAGCCUGCAGUGCCAUUUGAUAACCGUAGAACCUCUUUCAAAGUUGGAGUCAAACCCUGCCCCUUCUUUGUCAACCAAGUUUAUGUAAUAUUCCGAAUCCUCUGUUGUCAUUUCAGCAGUCAUCUGUACUAGGAGUAAAUUCCAUCUCAAGAAAGCACUUUCUUUGCUCAGUGAGAAAUAGCUCCUUAUCCUUUAGUGUUGCUGUGAAUUGUAGCAAUUCAGUCACACCUUCAGGCUCCACCUCUAAUUCUGGUUCUCUUCCUAUUUCCACCAUAUCUGCAGUUACUUCCUCCACUGAGGUUUUCUACCCUCGAAGUUAGCCAUGAGGGUUAGAAUCAACUUCUUCCAAGAUUCUGUUAAUGUUGAUAUUUUGACCUCUUCUCACGAAUUGCUAAUGUUCUUAAUGGUAUCUAGAAUGGUGAAUCCUUUCCAGAAGGUUUUUGAUUUACUUUGCCCUGAUCCAUUAGAGAAAUCGCUAACUAUGGCAACUAUAGCCUUACAGAGUGUAUUUCUUAAAUAGUAAGACUUAAAAAUUGACAUUAUUCCUUGAUUCAAGAGCUGCAGAAUGGAUGUUGUGUUAGCAGGCAUGAAAACAAUAUAAAUCUUGUUACACGUCCAUCAGAGCUCUUAGACGACCAGGUGUAUUGUCAAUGAGCAGUAAUAUUUUGUAAGGAAUUUUUUUUUUUUUUUUUCUGAGCAGUAGGGUUCCACAGACCUUAAAAUAUUUAGUAAACCAUAUUGUAAACAGAUGUGCAGUCAUUUAGGCUUUGUUGUUCCAUUUACAGAGCACAGGCAGAGUAGAUUUAGCAUAAUUCUUAAAAGCACUAUGACGUUAAGUAUUGGCUUCAACUUAAAGUCUCCAGCUGCAUAAGCUCCUUACAAGAGAGUCAGCCUGUCCUUUGAAGAUUUGAAGCCAGGCAUUGACUUGUCCUCUUUAGCUAUGAAAAUUCUGGAUGGCAUCUUCUACUAGUAUAAGGCUAUUUCAUCUACACUGAAAAUCUCUUAUUUAAUGUAGUCCUCUUCAUGGAUUAUCCAAGCUAGAUCUUCUGGAUAAUUUGCUGCAGCUUCUACAUCAGUGUUUGCUGCUUCACCUUGCACUUUGAUGUUUGGAGCCGGUUUCUUUCCUUAAACCUCAUGAACCACCCUCUGCCAGGUUCAAACUUUUCUUCUGCAGCUUCCUCACCUCUCUCAGCCUUCAUAGAAUUGAAGAGAGUUAAGAUCUUGCUCUGAAUUAGAUUUUCAUUUAAGGGAAUGUUGUGACUGGUUUGAUCUUCUAUUUAUACCACUGAACUUUCUUCAUGCCAGCAAUAGGCUAGUUCACUUUCUUAUUAUUUGUGUGUUCACUGGAGUAGCGCUUUUGAUAUCUGUCAAGAACUUUGCCCUCACGGUUUGGCUAACUGGCCCAAGAGACUUGGCUUUCAGCUUAUCUUGGUUUUCCAUAUACCUUCCUCACUAAGCUUAAUCAUUUCUAACUUUUGAUUUAAAGUGAGAUGUGUGACUCUUCUUUUCACUUGAACACUUAGAGGGCAUUGUAGGAUUAUUUAUUGGCCUAAUUUUAAUAUUGUUUUGUCUCAGGGAAUAGAGAGGCCAGUGCCAGGGGAGUGGCUAGUCAGUGGAGCAGUCAGAACAACGCAGCAUUUAUCAAUUAAAUUUGACGUCUUAUAUGCGUGGAAUUUGUGGUGGCCCAAAACAAUUACAAUAGCAACAGCCAAGAUUACUGGCCACAGAUGGCCAUAACAAAUAUAAUAAGGGUGAAAAAGUUUGACAUAUUGCUAGGAUUACCAAAAUGUGACACAGAGACAAGAAGUGAGCAUAUGUUGUUGGAAAAAUAGCACCGAUGGACUCUUGAUGCAGGGUUGACACAAAUCUUCAAUUCGUAAAAAGCACAAUAUCUUUGAAGCAUAAUAAAGUGAAGAAAUAAAGUGAAGAGCAGUACAGAGAGGUAUGCCAGUAUCUAAAAGGGAAAAUGUUCAGGUGAUAAAUAAAAGCUUAAUCUUGUCUUGAAUCUUGUGGAAAGGAUACUGUCCCUGUUUUGUUUCCCUUUGUCCUGUUGUUGCUAUUACUAUUGUUACCAUCUUUUUUGGUGACUGAUAUCAUCUACUGUUAAGAAUGUUUUCUGGAUCCUCUCAUAAUUCUCAUAACAACCCUAUGAUGUGGGUGGUACUGCAAUCCCCACUUUAUAGAUAUGGCAGUGAGGUUUAGAAAGCUUAAAUGAUUUGGGUAAGCUGGCCAGUAAGGGAAUGAAGCUAGGAUUUGAACAUCGUUUUCUCUCAGGAGCAAGGACUCUCCCAAAGACUUUACCUAAGGUGUUUGAUUUUUAACCCUAAUGCUCCACAGUAGAAGCUAAGGAAUUGACUGUGUGAGAAUGCAAAUCAUGGAAGAAAACUUGGGCAGAGCAGCUCCUGGGUUUAUUUUCUUCUUUGUUGGUAAUCCCAGUGACUGGCUGUGUUUUUCCUCUUACUACUGGAAAUCUCCUUGACUGCUGGCAGGAGCAUCUGACACAGUCACUCAUUUUGAGAUACAGGUAGAAGCGUCUAGAUUGGAGGGAAUGUAGAGAAAAGGGAACCCUCCUACACUAUUGGUGGGAAUGUAAAUUGAUGUAGUCACUAUGGAAAACAGUAUGGAGGAUCCUUAAAAAACUAAAAGUAAAGUUGCUGUCUAAUCCAGCAAUCCCGCUCCUGGGCAUAUAUCCAGACAAAACUAUAAUAUAAAGAUGCAUGCAUCCCAGUAUUCAUAGAAGCACUGUUCAUAAUAACCAAGACAUGGAAACACUGUAAAUGUCCAUGGACAGAUGAAUGGAUAAAGUGCAUGUGUACACACACACAUAAACACAUAAUGGGAUACUACUCAGUCAUAAAAAGGAAUGAAAUAAUGCUGUUUGCAGCAACAUGGAUAGUACCUAGAGAUUAAAUAUUAAGUGAAGUUAGAAAGAGAUAGAAAAAGACCAUAUAAUAUCACUUAUAUGUGGAAUCUAAAAUAUGAUAUAAAGUAACUUAUUUACAAAAUAGAAUGGACUCACAGACAUAGAAAACAAGCUGAUGGUUGCCAAGGGGGAAGGGAGGGGCGUUAUAUUAGGAAUUUGGGAUUAGCAGAUUCAAACUACCAUAGACAAUAUAAAUAAAAAAUAAGGCCCUACUGUAUAGCACAGGGAACUAUAUUAAAUAUCCUAUAAUAAGCCAUAAUGGAAAAGAAUAUGAAAAAGAAUAUAUAUCUUUAUCUGUAUAUAAAACUGCAUCACUUUGCUAUACACAAGAGACUAGCAUAAUAUUGUAAAUCAACUAUACUUCAAUAAAAAAAUAAAACCCCUAGGUUAAGUACUCUUUGAGGUUUCUUACUUCAAAAAAGCUUUAUUGUUUUCAGUUGGUUAUAAUUUUGGUGUAGUCUCUGGGAAUCUAGGAUUUGAAAUGUUAACAAAAUGACAAUAUAGACUCUGGUUACAUUGGGUUCCCAAUUUUUAUGACUUUUUAUUUCAAUUUCAUAUGUAUUACUUGAUUUGAGAAGAUUGCUUGUUCUAUCUGAAGCAAACUGCCAUUCACAUAGGGAACAACAAGAUGUAAAAUUUCCAAGAAAUAACAUGGUUUACUGAUUUUUUAAAAAGUACAUAAUCCACUUUCUGCAUUUCUUAUACAAAAUUUUCAUUGUGAGGUCAGUGCAUUAUUUUUCUUCUAAAAAUUUGCUUUAGGAAACUCAAGAGGUAGUGUUUUCUCUUUUUUAAAAAAUUUUUAAUUGAACUACAAACAACUACAGUUUUUAUAGUGCUACAGGAAUAGUUUCCCAAUUAAAGUUUUUUUUUUUUUUAUGGAAAGUGUUAUUCACAUUGGUAACUGUUACUCAUAUUUACACAUGAUUGUAAAGAAAAACUUUUAUUCUGUUGUAAUUAGCAUUAUCUCACUAUGGAUACUAAUAAAGCUCUUUAAUGCUUAUUAAAGUCCAAUUUUAUUACUAAUGCUUAAAUUGCCUGGUUGAUGCAACACAAAAAAUUUCUUACAAUAUUUUCUCACCCAGGGUAUGUUUCAUUGAAAGAGAUGUAUACAUUGUUUAGAUAAUGUACAUUUCUUGGGAAACAUCUUAUUUAAAUAUGCUUUCAAACGUCUUUAAUCUUUUAAGGUUUAAAGUAUGGAAAUACAGUCUUUCAGCCAUGUUCUGGGACUGGGUAUACUGACAUGAAGAAAUAUGGUUCCUGCAAUUGUUAAACUUACAGUUGAGUGAGAGUCAUAUGUAUAGGCAGAUACCUAGAAUCAGGUUUUAAGAGCCAUCCCCAAAGUUUAACUAAAUUGCUAAGGGAGCACGGAUGGGGAAGUAAUUAAUUUAGUCUUGUGAAGGAGAGGAAAGGUAAAAGAAAACUUUGUUGUUUCCUUUAUAAAAUCAAACAAGGUCUUCCAAGUGUUGACUGAUGAUUCUAAUAUUUUACUGCUUGAAAUUAGACAGGCUCCCUUCUGGGAUUUUUUUCCCCCCCUACAUAAAUCUUUUGUUUAUAAUGCAUUACUUUUUUGUUCUAACAAUUAACCUUAGAAAAGUUGGUGGAUGAUUGAUUCUGUAAGGGAAAGAUGAAUGCAAGUGUCAAGAUUUGAAUCUAUGGAGAUUCUUCUGUCAUCAACCACGGAGCGCCAGGAUGUAAUUUCCUAAUUUCUGCAGGGGAAUUUCAGGUGUUUUCUUUCUUUGUUUUAAGGCUUCACAGAGAAUUCACCAUAAUCUGAGCUGGGCUUUGAAAGAUAAAUAGAAAUUUUCCAAAUAGGGAGAAGGCAUUCUGGGAAGAGGGAAAGUCUGAUGACAGGUGACUCAAUAGGGAGAAGGCAUUCUGGGAAGAGGGAAAGUCUGAUGACAGGUGACUCAAUAGGGAGAAGGCAUUCUGGGAAGAGGGAAAGUCUGAUGACAGGUGACUCAUCCAAAGCCCUGUUUUAGCCCUGUAGGUGACGACUUAUUAGUAGGUUAGGAGUUGAGGCUGACUCAAGAGUUUUCUAGUGUGGGGAUAGGGUGUCUGGUGAUACUGUAACUAAGCAGGGGUAUAUGGAAGUAACUUUGGGGCUCAGAUGGAAUAUGAUCUCUUUUUGGGUAUGUUAACUUGGGGAGUCUUUGAAGCUUUCAUUAAUUGAUUUUUAAGAAAUUCUUUGCACUAAAAUUCAUUAAUCAUCUUACUUGCCCAGGUGUCAAUAAUGCAGACGUAAGAAAUAAUCUAUUCCCCAAAUCCUUGUAGACUCUUGGAGAGUGAGACAAUCCAAUAAUUACAAUAUGCGCUUAAAACUGCUGUGAUAGAAGCAGUCACAGGUUUUGAUGGGGAAAUUGGGAGUUUUGAUCACCUAAUGGAGAUGAGGAGUGAGAGGAAAAAAUUCCUGUAACAUUGCCUCAUGGAAUUCAAGUUGUGAAGUAUGAGUUAAACAGCUGAUGGGAAGGUGGGAAGAGGGGGAAACAUUUCAGGCAAAAAUAUUUAUUUGGCAAUGUGAAGAAAUAACCUCUGUAUAGAUUAGCGCUUGUAAUUGCUUUUGUCUUGUAGGAAUUAUGGGAUUGGUAGAAUCCUACAGAUCAGGUGUGUCUUGAUUUUUAUGUUGAAGACAGUCAUGCUAGUAGUAUUGGAGCUAGUGAAGAAUUUCCAGUAGGGGAGUGACAUGAUCAGAUAAGAUGCCCAGCAACCAGUUAGAAUUAUGUGCUAGAAUCUCAGAAUAGCCACUGGGGAUAGAGUGGAAAUUUAAUUGGUGGUCAUAAUGGAUAAAAAGUGUUUCCUGCUUAGGUGUGAAGACAGGUAAGUAAAAAUGACAUUUCAGCAUGCUAAGUGUAGUAUAAAGUGCUAUGGAAUGAGUACAGAGGAGGAGCAACUGAUUAGGAACUACACAUAGAAUACUCACUCGUAGGUGUGUGGGUGGUAUUUGCAACUGAGAAUAUUGAUGAGAUUCUCUAAGGAAAUGAAGACAGAGAUGAAAGAACUGAAGGUAGACUUCUGGAAAAAGGCAGCCUUCAUAGGAAAAGGUUAAAGAAGGAUCAUCCAAAGCCCUGUUUUAGCCCUGUAGGUGACAACUUAUUAGUAGGUUGCAAAAUCAGUAAUAAUGGAUGGGAAAUUAAUAUGUUUGGUGUUAGACAGAAUUUUAAAAACAUGGGUUAGGAGAGAAUAGAAAUUAUCAGGGCAUAUGUAGCAAAGGUAAUUAUUAUUUUGUGACAUUUUGUUCAGAUGUGUGUUUCUGCAUGUGUGUAUUGGAUGCAGUAUAAAAUGCCUUUCUUAUUAUGAGUCAUAAUCACAAAUGUUUGAAAAACAGUACAAGAGACUAAGGAAAUGUCAUUGGAAAUACUUAAAUCACUUCUGUUCUUCACUACUCUGAUGACAAGGAAAAGAAAUGGACCUAGUGAAAGAGCAAUGGGAAGGAGAUUUUAUG